GCUGCUCAGCUUUCGCUUUCACUUUAAACCGCUUCGGUUCGGUUCAGCUCCUCCUCACCGACCAGCGCCUCCUCACCGACCAGCGCCCUGCAGCUCUGAGCCGCGGACAGAGAAAAGGUUCCAAACAUGUCUGUGCGUUUUUAGGGGGAAAGCUUUUACUUGAACCCAGCAGAAACAGCCAGAUCAUCUCCUCCUGCCAUGUUCAGCGCAGAGAAGCUCCAUAAACACCGGAACGCACACCAUGACGGAGGAGCGCCGUGACUGACUCUGUUAGACUUCCUACAAUAAUCAGAGUCAGAGUCAGCCUCAUUCUGAUCAGCUCAGAACGACAAACACUGCUCGUUUUUCAGAACAGCUGCUGAUCUGCUGAUCCGGCGCCAGAGUGGAGAUAAUGACGCCUCCUACUGUUCAGACCGACUGAGGCUCCACGGGCUUUUCUGACCGUUUAGUUCGGUGGCGUCACAAUAAUCAGCGUCAUCUUGAAGUCUGUUAGCGGGUGUUUGUAAAAGGGGCUGUGAUCAUGGCACCGUGACGUCAUAUGUGAAAACCUCUCAGAACAUUUGCACAAUACUUGGCAUGUGGUGAUCAUCCAGCACAAACUGUAGUUAUAAAGCAGGCAUUCUGUGAAAACUGCAUCCUUCUUAUUUACAAAACUCCAUUUCAGAAAUUUUUCAUUGCAAAACUUCAACAAACCAAGCAGUUCAGCCCAUUCACACCAGCAGGACUUAAUUAUGGGACGGUUAAGCCUGAAACUGCAUCGUACAUCGAAUCUAUACAGCAAUAUGAGACCUCAUUUAUUGGGAUAACAGGGAGCAACAGUGCUGCUCAAGAGACCUAAUACCCUGAGAACAAGUGACGAACCAGAGAAAACGGGUCAAAAUAAAUGGGGACACAAAGUGAAAUGGGCUGCCUCUGCGCUGAGCCAGUGGACUUUCAGACAGAUGGUGCAGAAUUGUAGUCACUUCUUUAGGUUUUGUUUUAAAGGCCUCAUAUUAACUGUGUGUUUUCUGUCUUACUGCAGUGAAACAUUUACUGUACAAGAACAAAUCAUUAAAGUACUCAUCUUCUA